rnacentral:misc_RNA from 1 species
CAGAAUGCAGGGGCGCAAAAUUCUAAUUUUUUUUUCUGUAGAGAAAAAUAAAGAGGAGUGCAUUUCUGUAAAUAUUUAGCAUUCUUUGGGGCUAGAAAACUUUUUGAGUUUAGAUUCCAAAAAGAUUAGGAGCUUUAUUGUCAAUUAGUUUUUUUAAUUACUAUUAUUAUUAAAUUUUUUUUUUUUUUUUGAAAAAGAGCAAGGAGAGGUACCGGAGCGAAAAAGAUCCGCAGCUGAAGAAGUGAUCGGAGCGAUGGAAUUGGAUUGACCACUUUUCCUGGCUGCAGAGCGACGCAUCU